ACUCCUACGGGAGGCAGCAGUGGGAAUCUUGCGCAAUGGGCGAAAGCCUGACGCAGCGACGCCGCGUGAGCGAUGAAGGCCUUCGGGUUGUAAAGCUCUGUGGGGAGAGAAGAAUAAGCGUAGGUUAAUAUCCUGCGUGAUGACGGUAUCUCCUUAGCAAGCACCGGCUAACUCUGUGCCAGCAGCCGCGGUAAGACAGAGGGUGCAAACGUUGUUCGGAAUCACUGGGCGUAAAGCGGGUGUAGGCGGCUUGGCAAGUCGGAUGUGAAAUCCCGAGGCUUAACCUCGGAAGUGCACUCGAAACUGCCUGGCUAGAGUCCUGGAGAGGAAGGUGGAAUGCUUGGUGUAGAGGUGAAAUUCGUAGAUAUCAAGCGGAACACCGGUGGCGAAGGCGGCCUUCUGGACAGUGACUGACGCUGAGACCCGAAAGCGUGGGGAGCAAACAGGAUUAGAUACCCUGGUAGGUCAGU
rnacentral:rRNA from 1 species